rnacentral:rRNA from 1 species
UACGGAGGAUCCAAGCGUUAUCCGGAAUCAUUGGGUUUAAAGGGUCCGUAGGUGGGCCAUUAAGUCAGGGGUGAAAGUCUGCAGCUCAACUGUAGAAUUGCCCUUGAUACUGGUGGCCUUGAAUUACUGUGAAGUGGUUAGAAUAUGUAGUGUAGCGGUGAAAUGCAUAGAUAUUACAUAGAAUACCGAUUGCGAAGGCAGAUCACUAACGGUAUAUUGACACUGAUGGACGAAAGCGUGGGUAGCGAACAGG